rnacentral:tRNA from 1 species
GGGCCUGUAGCUCAGUUGGUUAGAGCGCACCCCUGAUAAGGGUGAGGUCAGUGGUUCGAAUCCACCUCAGGCCCACCA